UACGGGGGGGGCAAGCGUUGUUCGGAAUUACUGGGCGUAAAGGGCUCGUAGGCGGCCAACUAAGUCAGACGUGAAAUCCCUCGGCUUAACCGGGGAACUGCAUCUGAUACUGGAUGGCUUGAGUUCGGGAGAGGGAUGUGGAAUUCCUGGUGUAGCGGUGAAAUGCGCAGAUAUCAGGAAGAACACCAAUGGCGAAAGCAGCUCUCUGGGACGGUACUGACGCUGAGACGCGAAAGCGUGGGGAGCAAACAGG
rnacentral:rRNA from 1 species